rnacentral:rRNA from 1 species
UCAAAUCAUCACGCCCCUUAUGUCCAGGGCUACACACGUGUUACAAUGGGUAGUGGACAAUGGGUUGCUUGGCAGCGAUGUCUGGCAAAUCCCCUAAACCACCCCUCAGUUCGGAUCGUAGUCUGCAACUCGACUACGUGAAGUCGGAAUCGCUAGUAAACGCAGAUCAGCACGCUGCGUUGAAUACGUUCCCGGGCCUU